UCUUGAUUUUUGAUAUGAUCUGGAUUUGAUGCAUAUUUGAUGUGCUUUAAAAUGUGUUUAAAAUGUUUAUUGAUUCUUAUUUUACUUGAUAUAAACAGAUAUAAAUGUUAACUUGGACUACCAACUGGAGUUCUUACUGAUUGUGUGGUAAUAAUGCUAGUUAGAAUCCAGCAACAAAACUAGUUAGGUUGUACUGGAUUGCAUUAAUUCUUGUCUGCAACUGUGGAUUUUUGUAUUAUCCCAGAUAACACAAUUCCUUCCUAUAUUAAAUUGAUGCCCAUUACACCCUUGAUUAUGAUGCUUACACAUACCGAAUAUACUUUACAACUGAGAAUUAUAACUGAAAAGCAACUGGUUUAAUAUCUCUAUAGAUACUGUUAUUUUUUAUUGGAAACUAUGGACGAUAUAGAUGAAGUGAUAGAAUUAAAACCUGAAGAUAUUGAUUUGUAUUCUACAGACAAACCGGAUUUGAUAGAUAUCACUUCAUUAAAAGUGGAAGAAAAUUUAGAUCUUGCAGAGUCAACUAUAGAUAAACUUUCAGCAAUUUCAGGCACAACAGAUACUGCUUUGAACAUUAAACCAAUUAGUGUAGAGCAUAUUAAAGAAGAAAAUAAUAUUACUGACUUAGUAAGUUUGGAUAUUGUUAAACAAGAAAAUAAUGUUCCAGAACUUCCAGAAGAGAAUAUAAAUGUAAGGUCAUCACAUAUUAAUCUAAAACUUUCAUUACAUUGUAACAGAUCUAAGGAAGCUUCGAACGAAAAAUUAAUAGACAUAGUAGACAUCAAAGAAGAAAAUGAUAAUAGCGAUAAAAAUCUAAAUAGUACAGAAAAAAUAGUAAACCUGGCAAAGGAAUUGAAGGAAUCGCAGAAAGAGAUCUAUAGAUGUUCGACAUGUAGCUAUAAAACGCCACAUAAGUACAGUCUUAAGAAACACCAGAAAAUUCACUUGGCACAAGAAGAACGACAGUUGUUUGCUUGUCCUCACUGUGACAACAUAUAUACGAGUAAACAUGGCUUACAAUACCACCUUGCGCAUAAUCAUAUCGAUUCCAGGGCGAAGGCAUUGAAGAAAUCGCAGAAAAAGGUCUCUAGAUGUAGAUGUUCCAUAUGUAGCCGUAAAACUCCACAUAAUGUCACUUUUAACAAGCACAAGCAAAUUGACUUGCCACCGGAAGAACGACAGUUGGAGGAAUUGCAGAAAAAAGUCCAUAGAUGUUCCAUGUGUAGCUAUAAAACGCCACAUAAUUUCCAUCUUAACGAGCACAAGAAAAUUCACUUGCCACCGGAAGAACGACGGUUGUUUGGUUGUGCGCACUGCGAUAAGAAAUAUAUGAGUAAAAGAACCUUACAAGUUCACCUUCAUAUUGAUCAUACUGAUUCCAGGGCGAAGGGCCUGAAGGAAUCGCAGAAAAAGAUCUAUAGAUGUUCCAUAUGUAGCUACCAAACGCCUUAUAAGUCCUAUCUUAACGCACACAAUAAUAUUCACUUGCCACCGGAAGAACGACAGUUGAAGGUCUAUAGAUGUUCCAUGUGUAGCUAUAAAACGCCACAUAAUUUCCGUCUUAACGAGCACAAUAAAAUUCACUUGGCACCUGAAGAACGACGGAUGUUUGCUUGUCCGCAUUGCGACAAAACGUAUACAAGAAAACAACGCUUACGAGACCACCUUGAGAAUCAUCAUAUUGAUUUGAGAAAUCCUGAUGGUACAUCUGUAACUGAAGAAGUGAUACUAGAUUCUUUAAAAAUUGAAAUUGAUGAUCACACUCCACUUAAGGACGAGUUUAAAAAUACUGAAUGUCUUAUUGCGACUAAUCAAAUAAAAUCAGAAGAUCUUUUAAAAUUAGAACCUGAUGAUGUCGCUCCGAUUCAGCAUAAAGGCUUGCAGGAUGACUUCAAAAAUACUGAAUGUCUUAUUGCAACUAAUGAACUAAAAUCAGAAGAUCUUUUAAAGUUAGAACCUGAUGAUGUCGCUCCGAUUCAGCAUAAAGGCUUGCAGGAUGACUUCAAAAAUACUGAAUGUCUUAUUGCGACUAAUCAGAUAAAUUCAGAAGAUCUUUUAAAAUUAGAACCUGAUGAUGUCGCCCCGAUUCAGCAUAAAGAUUUGCACGAUGACUUUAAGGCCUACUUUAGGGUAAAGACAUUGAAGAAAUCGCAGAAAAAGGUGGCUAGAUGUAGAUGUUCCAUAUGUAGUCGUAAAACGCCACAUAAUUUGACGCUUAACAAGCACAAGCAAAUUCACUUGCCACCGGAAGAACGACAGUUGAAGGAAUUGCAGAGAAAGGUCUAUAGAUGUUCCACAUGUAGCUACCGAACGCCAUAUAAGUCCCAUCUUAACACACACAAGAACAUUCAUUUGCCACCGGAAAAACGACAGUUGAAGGAAUUGCGGAGAAAGGUCUAUAGAUGUUCCACAUGUAGCUACCGAACGCCAUAUAAGUCCCAUUUUAACACACACAAGAACGUUCAUUUGCCACCGAAAGAACGACAGUUGGAGGAAUUGCAGAAAAAGGUCUAUAGAUGUUGCACAUGUAGCUAUCAAACAACAAAUAAGUCCAAUUUUAACAGCCACAAUAAAAUUCACUUGGCACCUGAAGAACGACGGAUGUUUGCUUGUCCGCAUUGCGACAAUACAUAUACAAGAAGACACCGCUUACGGUACCACCUUGAGAAUCAUCAUAUUGAUUUGAGAUCGCACGGUAUUUCGCUGUUUCAUUUUUUCAUUAUUUUAACAGCCACAAGAAAAUUCACUUGGCACCUGAAGAACGACAGAUGUUCGCUUGUCUGCAUUGCGGCAAAACAUAUACAAGAAAACAACGCUUACGAGACCACCUUCAGAAUCAUCAUAUUGAUUUGAGAAAUCCUGAUCGUACAUCUGUAACUGAUGAAGGGAUACUAGAUUCUUUAAAAAUUGAAAUUGAUGAUCACACUCCGCUUAAAGAUGAGUUUAAAAAUACUGAAUGUCUUAUUGCGACUAAUCAAAUA
rnacentral:misc_RNA from 1 species